GCCUUCGUGGUGUAGUGGUCAGCACACUGAGCCAGUAUUUCAGAGGUUCCUGGUUCGAUUCCCGGCGAAGGCG